CGGAGGUGCAAGCGUUAAUCGGAAUUACUGGGCGUAAAGCGCACGCAGGCGGUUUGUUAAGUCAGAUGUGAAAUCCCCGGGCUCAACCUGGGAACUGCAUCUGAUACUGGCAAGCUUGAGUCUCGUAGAGGGGGUAGAAUUCCAGGUGUAGCGGUGAAAUGCGUAGAGAUCUGGAGGAAUACCGGUGGCGAAGGCGGCCCCCUGGACGAAGACUGACGCUCAGGUGCGAAAGCGUGGGAGCAAACAGGAUU
rnacentral:rRNA from 1 species